GAAGUUUUCAGAGAUGAGAAUGUGCCUUCGGGAACCGUGAGACAGGUGCUGCAUGGCUGUCGUCAGCUCGUGUUGUGAAAUGUUGGGUUAAGUCCCGCAACGAGCGCAACCCUUAUCCUUUGUUGCCAGCGGUCCGGCCGGGAACUCAAAGGAGACUGCCAGUGAUAAACUGGAGGAAGGUGGGGAUGACGUCAAGUCAUCAUGGCCCUUACGACCAGGGCUACACACGUGCUACAAUGGCGCAUACAAAGAGAAGCGACCUCGCGAGAGCAAGCGGACCUCAUAAAGUGCGUCGUAGUCCGGAUUGGAGUCUGCAACUCGACUCCAUGAAGUCGGAAUCGCUAGUAAUCGUGGAUCAGAAUGCCACGGUGAAUACGUUCCCGGGCCUUGUACACACCGCCCGUCACACCAUGGGAGUGGGUUGCAAAA
rnacentral:rRNA from 1 species